rnacentral:tRNA from 1 species
GUAGGUAUAGCUUAAUUAGGUAGAGUUUUAAAUUGUGACUUUAAAGAUAUGGGUUCAAAUCCCAUUACUUACC